rnacentral:pre_miRNA from 1 species
UCAAUACUCCCUCCGUCCGGAAAUACUUGUCAUCAAAAUGGAUUAAAGGAGAUGUAUCUAGACGUAUUUUAGUUCUAGAUACAUCCCUUUUCAUCCAUUUUGAUGACAACUAUUUUCGGACGGAGGGAGUACAUC